rnacentral:rRNA from 1 species
CGAGAAAGCCUUGGCUUGCCAGGGCGAGUAUAGUGGCGCACGGGUGAGUAACGCGUGGGUAAUCUACCUCUGAAUUCGGGAUAACCCUUCGAAAGGGGGGCUAAUACCGGAUAACAUCCGAUUGACCUUGGUUGAUUGGAUCAAAGAAGGCCUCUACAUGUAAGCUUUUGUUUGGGGAUGAGCCCGCGUACCAUUAGCUAGUUGGCAGGGUAACGGCCUACCAAGGCUACGAUGGUUAGCUGGUCUGAGAGGAUGAUCAGCCACACUGGAACUGACACACGGUCCAGACUCCUACGGGAGGCAGCAGUGAGGAAUUUUGCGCAAUGGGGGAAACCCUGACGCAGCAACGCCGCGUGAGUGAUGAAGGCCUUCGGGUCGUAAAGCUCUGUCAAGUGGGAAGAAGUUAUUUAUGGUGAAUAUCCAUAGGUAUUGACGGUACCACUGAAGGAAGCACCGGCUAACUCCGUGC